rnacentral:rRNA from 1 species
GUGAUCCGGUGGUUCUGAAUGGAAGGGCCAUCGCUCAACGGAUAAAAGGUACUCCGGGGAUAACAGGCUGAUACUGAUACCGCCCAAGAGUUCAUAUCGACGGCGGGGUUUGGCACCUCGAUGUCGGCUCUCCUGGGGCUGAAGUAGGUCCCAAGGGUACGGCUGUUCGCCGUUUAAAGUGGUACGCGAGCUGGGUUAGAACGUCGUGAGACAGUUCGGUCCCUAUCUGCCGUGGGCGUUGGAAGAUUGAAAGGGGCUGCUCCUAGUACGAGAGGACCGGAGUGGACGCACCACUGGUGUUCGGGUUGUCAUGCCAAUGGCAUUGCCCGGUAGCUAAGUGCGGAAGAGAUAACCGCUGAAAGCAUCUAAGCGGGAAACUUGCCUUGAGAUGAGUCUUCCCUGACUCUUUAAGAGUCCUAAAGGAACGUUUAAGACUAAGACGUUGAUAGGUUGGGUGUGUAAGCGUAGCGAUACGUUGAGCUAACCAAUACUAAUGAACCGUGAGGCUUAACCUG